rnacentral:rRNA from 1 species
GACGAACGCUGGCGGCGUGCCUAAUACAUGCAAGUAGAACGCACAGUUUAUACCGUAGCUUGCUACACCAUAGAUUGUGAGUUGCGAACGGGUGAGUAACGCGUAGGUAACCUGCCUGGUAGCGGGGGAUAACUAAUGGAAACGAUAGCUAAUACCGCAUAAUAUUAAUUAUUGCAUGAUAAUUAAGUGAAAGGUGCAAUUGCACCACUACCAGAUGGACCUGCGUUGUAUUAGCUAGGAGGGGAGGUAACGGCUCACCUAGGCGACGAUACAUAGCCGAGCUUGGAGGGUGAACGGCCAACAUGGGAAUGAGACAAGGCCCAGACUUCUAAGGGGGGGAGCAGUAGGGAAUCUUCGGAAAUGGGCGGAAGGCUGACCGAGCAAAGACGCGGGAGUGAAGAAGGGCUUCGGAGCGUAAAGCUCUGUUUUAAGAGAAGAACGGGUGGGAGAGUGGAAAGUUCACGCUGUGACGGUACCUUAACAGAAAGGGACGGCUAACUACGUG